UACGAAGGGGGCGAGCGUUGUUCGGAUUUACUGGGCGUAAAGGGCGCGCAGGCGGCUCAUUUUGUCAGGCGUGAAAGCCCCGGGCUUAACCUGGGAACUGCGUUUGAUACGGAUGGGCUAGAGUUCGGGAGAGGAGAGUGGAAUUCCCAGUGUAGAGGUGAAAUUCGUAGAUAUUGGGAAGAACACCGGUGGCGAAGGCGGCUCUCUAGACCGCAACUGACGCUGAGACACGAAAGCGUGGGUAGCAAACAGG
rnacentral:rRNA from 1 species